CCUCUCCUCCGCUGGUUUUACCGUCGCGACACAACCAAUCCCUCGCUAGCCCUACCUCGUCUCUCGUCUCCAGUCGCAGCCGCCGCCGCCGCACCCCAAUCCAACCCCGCCGCCGGCGAUCUCCUCGCCCCCCUGCGCCGCCGCCAUCAACCUUCUGUUCCUCUCCCAAGGGAAUCCCAAGGGAAGGGAAGGCAAGGGAAGGGAAGGGAAGGGAAGGGAGAGGGAGCGCCCAGAUCCACGGCGGCAUCAGGCACCAUCGUCGACCUGGUCCGCGUCCGUCCUCGAGGGAGGUCGGCCAUGGAGGUCCGACCCGGCCCGGCAGCAGCCAUGGACGGACGGAGACGCCCCAAACCCUACCCUCAAGGACGACGCCUCAACCUUCAACCGGAUCUUCCACCACACCACAUCGGCCUCCCUGAUUUCACGCAGGAGCUCCGCUGCUUCCAGAACGUCACCUGCUACCAGUUGUCAUCUUUCGGAAGACAAAGUACGGGUUGAGUAAGCUGUUUGGUGUUGGAAUCGGCGAGGUUGGUCAUGUUGGUGGUAUUCUCUUAUGUGCACGCCUCUGAACACCCAUCAAGGGGGAAUGGUAUGUUUCGAUAAUCCAAUGAUCAAUUUCUGGUGGUACGUCAUAUUUUUCGUGGUAAUGAUGGUGUGUUUCCUUUUAGUUUGUGUCAUGGUACUACCUUGUUCCUAACUUUGAAAAAAGAACCGAUCAAGAGCAUUAGUGAAACAACCUCUAUCCAAAGAGAAAGGGUUAAUCAUGGAUCUUCAUAACUGAUGCAAAGAAUCGUCUAACUGUUUAGUAGCUCUGAGAGAUAAUUAACCCAUUUGAGGUUUGGAUAUGCAAUUUAUGCCCUAUAUAGUAAACUAGAGGGCUCUUUCUGAUUCUUUGUGUGUGUAUAGAUACCCAGGUUCUUAGCAAUGAGCCGUUCUGGUUAAUUCUUAUGCAUGUGGUUGCUAUGCCUCUCUUAGUAUUUCUGUGAUUUUUCAUGCAUUUAGUUCUGCUUCCUAUGCAAACAUGGUGUUCAGUUCACUAUCUUUUGUUGUGCACAAUGCUUGGAUAUGCCCUACGGAGAAUUCUCAAAAUUCUUAUUCUUUGAAUUGUAUAGCUUAGGAGCAUUUGUUGUACAUAAGCACAUACAGAAAUAAGAUUUUAUCUACUUCUGAGGAUAUGGUGGUAGAAACAACAAGGAGCAUGACCAGGAUAGGAGAGUACACAGGGCUCUGCCAGUGCACUACAUCACAGAUGUCAUAUGUAGGAAUGAUGGCAUCAACUGUCAUUUGCACGUUUACAGAUUCACAAUGGAGGUGAGAUUGGUAUAUGCUUCAUCAGCACAAGUCCUAUGUAACGAAGUUGGAUAAUAUACGAUUCCUUACGAAAGACUAAUUUCGAGAAUGCAUCUUUUGUGAGAUUAUUAGCUAGCUUGAUUUGGAUGCUGUUGGAAUUGUUUUAUUCUUUUAGGUGUCAUGAUCUCUAGCGGUAGCUAGCCUGGUUUGAAGGUGUUGAUCCUUCACAUCACAUUCGGAACCGUUCGCUCUCUGGUUACGAUUUGGCUGCCAUGCAGCGGAAUCUGGCUGAAAAAGUGAAACCAAACAGGGCCAAAAAUUCUUCCAAGGUGCAAAAUUUACCAAAAUGAACUAUAAUGCUAAUGAUUUUUUUCCAUUUAA